rnacentral:rRNA from 1 species
UACGGAGGGUGCAAGCGUUAUCCGGAUUCACUGGGUUUAAAGGGUGCGUAGGCGGGUAAGUAAGUCCGUGGUGAAAUCUUUGAGCUUAACUCAGAAACUGCCGUGGAUACUAUUUGCCUUGAAUAUUGUGGAGGUGAGCGGAAUAUGUCAUGUAGCGGGGAAAUGCUUAGAUAUGACAUAGAACACCAAUUGCGAAGGCAGCUCACUACACAAUCAUUGACGCUGAGGCACGAAAGCGUGGGGAUCAAACAGG